rnacentral:rRNA from 1 species
UGCCAGCCGCCGCGGUAAUACGGAGAGUGCAAGCGUUGUUCGGAAUUAUUGGGCGUAAAGGGCGUCUAGGUGGUUCGUUAAGUCAGAUGUGAAAUCCCUCGGCUCAACCGAGGACGUGCAUUUGAAACUAGCGAACUUGAGUACCUGAGAGGGCAGCGGAAUUCCUGGUGUAGAGGUGAAAUUCGUAGAUAUCAGGAGGAACACCAGCGGCGAAGGCGGCUGCCUGGCAGGAGACUGACACUGAAGCGCGAAAGCGUGGGGAGCAAACAGGAUUAGAUA